rnacentral:rRNA from 1 species
UACGUAGGGGGCAAGCGUUGUCCGGAAUUAUUGGGCGUAAAGCGCGCGUAGGCGGCCAGAUAAGUCCGCUGUGAAAACUCGAGGCUCAACUUCGAGCUGUCGGUGGAAACUUUCUGGCUAGAGUCCGGAAGAGGAGAAUGGAAUUCCUGGUGUAGCGGUGAAAUGCGCAGAUAUCAGGAAGAACACCCGUGGCGAAGGCGGUUCGCUGGGACGGGACUGACGCUGAGACGCGAAAGCGUGGGGAGCGAACAGG